UAGGGAAUCUUCCACAAUGGGUGCAAACCUGAUGGAGCAAUGCCGCGUGAGUGAAGAAGGUCUUCGGAUCGUAAAGCUCUGUUAUUAACGAGGAACAAGGGAAGUAGUAACUGGCUUCCCCUUUACGGUAAUUAAUCAGAAAGUCACGGCUAACUACGUGCCAGCAGCCGCGGUAAUACGUAGGUGACAAGCGUUGUCCGGAUUUAUUGGGCGUAAAGCGAGCGCAGGCGGUCUUUUAAGUCUGAUGUGAAAGCCCACGGCUCAACCGUGGAGGGGCAUUGGAAACUGGAAGACUUGAAUACAGAAGAGGAAAGUGGAAUUCCAGGUGUAGCGGUGAAAUGCGUAGAUAU
rnacentral:rRNA from 1 species